rnacentral:lncRNA from 1 species
GGUAGGCCCCCUCCCCAUUUUAGAAGAUCCCUUCCCUUCCCACAAUCCCUCUUGGCUUGAGGGCUCUAAGUCCCAUAAACCUUCACCCGAGCAUUGCAACGGGUGCCAGGGUAAGGAACUCGAGUUAUUCCCUCUUUCCCUUCCCUCCUGGGUCGGGUCUGGGGUACAGCGAACCCCAGUCUCCUCCCUCCCCCUCUCCACAACAUUUCCGGUCCCUAGGCAACCUGCCCUUGUCGCCGUGGAGACGCGGAGAGGGCGGGGUCGAGCAGCUGCCAGUGGCUCAGAAGCCGAGGCAGCGGAGGGUCCUGGGGGCAGGGGUGCUGGGGGCAGGGGCCGUCCUGGUCCGCACCGCCCCUCCCCCGCAGGGCCUGGCCCCUCCCCGCCUCGAGCCGUCCACUAGUCCAUGCAACGGACACUCCCAAAGGGGAGCCAAACCCCGUGGCGCGCCCCGCCCCCAACAAGCACGUGGGAACGGCGCAAACUUAAAAGGGUCCGCGCGUGGUCAAAGCCGACCCAGGAGCAGACCGGGAGGGGCUUCCGCGAGGCGGGGGGAAAUCCCAGGGGCCGCUAGAGGUUGCGGAGCAGGGCAGCCGAAGGAGGGUGCACGGGACUGGGGAGCCCGGAGCCCGCAGACACUCCCCAGCCCAGCCGCUGUCACGACAAUCCAGCCUGGACAAAGGCCAUCAGGCUCCCAGCACCACAUAGGAGUGUCCAUCCAAAGGGAGAAGGCACCAGAGGAAGAAGCGGCUGGAGAAGGGGCAGCCAAAGCCAACCGCUCUGCAAUCCCCAUUGGCCCGCCCAGCCUAGUCACCAGGGUCUAUCACCUUUUUGCAUUUGGCCUCUACCAACGGACAUAUAGCAAGGGCAAAAGCUUAAACAUUUCCCCCUCUGCUUUGGUGACACUUUCCCCUGCGUCCAUAAGUCAGCUGACAUCAUGCUACAUAGAGCACUGGGCUUAG